rnacentral:sRNA from 10 species
AAAGCAAAGAACAAAGAGAAAAGAAUAGAAACAAACCCUAGAGAGGAAAAUUCAAGAGAAAUUCAUUGGAUUUUCGAAAAAUGAAGCAAUCGGAGGUGGUGAGCCCUUUGAUAAAGGUAAAGAUAUCGUAUCCGAGGACCAAGAAUAGGAGUACUCCAAACUCUCGUUAUAGUUGGGUAAUAUCAUAUUAGCCAUGUCAUGCUGCUGAAAUUUUUAUUGAUUUGGUGAGGUAAGUGAUCAGCUUACUGUAGUGGGUGAGUUUCUAUGGACCAGCCUAUUGAGGGGCACGGUAAACCCCGUUAUAUUUUACCUUAGUAGGAGAGGCACAG